rfam:Papio anubis isolate 1X1155 chromosome 5, whole genome shotgun sequence.
GCCUGGCUAGAUCAGUUUGUAGACCAUGAGACUCUUAAUCCCAGAGUUGUGGGUUCGAGCCCCACAUUAGGUG